rnacentral:rRNA from 1 species
CCUACGGGGGGCUGCAGUGGGGAAUAUUGCACAAUGGGGGAAACCCUGAUGCAGCAACGCCGCGUGAGUGAUGAAGGUCUUCGGAUUGUAAAGCUCUGUCUUUUGGGACGAUAAUGACGGUACCAAAGGAGGAAGCCACGGCUAACUACGUGCCAGCAGCCGCGGUAAUACGUAGGUGGCAAGCGUUGUCCGGAUUUACUGGGCGUAAAGGGUGUGUAGGCGGAUGUUUAAGUGAGAUGUGAAAUACCCGGGCUUAACUUGGGUGCUGCAUUUCAAACUGGAUAUCUAGAGUGCAGGAGAGGAGAAUGGAAUUCCUAGUGUAGCGGUGAAAUGCGUAGAGAUUAGGAAGAACACCAGUGGCGAAGGCGAUUCUCUGGACUGUAACUGACGCUGAGGCACGAAAGCGUGGGUAGCAAACAGGAUUAGAUACCCCGGUAGUC